rnacentral:rRNA from 1 species
UACGUAGGGGGCAAGCGUUGUCCGGAAUCAUUGGGCGUAAAGCGCGUGUAGGCGGCUCGGUAAGUCUGCUCUGAAAGUCCAAGGCUCAACCUUGGGAUGCGGGUGGAUACUGCCGGGCUCGAGUCCGGAAGAGGCGAGUGGAAUUCCUGGUGUAGCGGUGAAAUGCGCAGAUAUCAGGAGGAACACCAAUGGCGAAGGCAGCUCGCUGGGACGUGACUGACACUGAGGGACGAAAGCUAGGGGAGCGAAUGGG